GUAGCUACUGUGUGUAUGUUUUAGCAUGAAAAUAAUAAAGGAGGAAUGUCAGUGCAACCCAUCAUUAAUUAUUGUAAAGGAGGAUCAGUAUUAUGAAAUACUUUAUAAGUGACUACGACAUUGUAAGGAUUAUAACCUAUCGUAGGUAUGAAAGAAAUUAAAAGUGGUUCAUUUAUCCAUCCGUAUAAAAGCGGCACAUGUAUUUUAUUUUAUCCUUAUAUUUCUCAUCAUGCCGGGUACAAGAUAAUUGAGUUGCUGCAUGCAUAAAGAACUUAGAAUAUCAGUAUACUUUUUCGACCCCA
rnacentral:lncRNA from 1 species